rnacentral:rRNA from 1 species
UACGAAGGGUGCAAGCGUUAAUCGGAAUUACUGGGCGUAAAGGGUGCGUAGGCGGUUCGUUAUGUCUGCUGUGAAAGCCCCGGGCUUAACCUGGGAAUGGCAGUGGAAACUGGCGGGCUUGAGUGUGGCAGAGGGGGGUGGAAUUCCGCGUGUAGCAGUGAAAUGCGUAGAGAUGCGGAGGAACACCGAUGGCGAAGGCAGCCCCCUGGGCUGACACUGACGCUGAGGCACGAAAGCGUGGGGAGCAAACAGG